UUCACAAACCUGAAUACAAAGCUGAGUCUUGUCUUUUAUCAAAUAUGCAAUGACUGUUUCUUAAAACUUGUUUUUAACAUAUUUUAUGGACAUUUUUUCUUAGGGUGUGAAGUGGAUUUGUCACAAUGGGACACCAGCCUUCCUUUUCUCUUGACCAACCACCUCAUGCGAACCAGUGCUAAACCAAUGAAGUUUUGGGCAUGCUACUUGUUUUGGCUGGGACAGAUCUGAUCUCCAGAACUGCGUGCAGAGCUGGGAAGGAGUAAGGUGAAAAUAGAGGAAUGUUCCCAGACCAAUCUGUGUAGAAGCAGCAGUUCCUCAACACAAACCAUUUGUCUCUGGGUUGAAAUUCAAGAAUGUUAACCCUGUGUGUGCUCUGUGGGCUACACAGCACCUCCUGUAGGAACAACACUUAAUGGAGACUUGUUCGGUGGAGCAAGCUGCCUUGUGUUGUGGACUUUGCAGAUAGCUGGAACUGUAACUCACUUCUUUCCUCGUGAAUGCAUUGAAGAUAAGGUCCAGUACAACAAAUUCCAGGUCCUCCUCCAUGUCUGGACAAAGAGGCCAGACACCGCUGUUUCCAGAGAAGAAUGUGCCCAAAACAGAAGAGCUGGUGACUUGGGAAAAAUUGCCUUUUGUCGUAGCUGACGGGUACGUGGCUUCUGUUAUCUGCACAUGCAAAUCAGGGGCAAGAGCUGCUUUUAGCAUAGUUGCUGGAUGUGGGCUUCAUGCUUAUUCACUGUCACUCAUACACUUACCUCUACCGCUUUGCUUUUCUUUAAGUCAUAGAGCCCAUUUGUGUCCCGAGGCUCAAGCUCCAUCAUCUUUUGCCCCACGUAGAGGGACAGCUGUAUGGCACUGGCUCUGUGACUCCUGUAUUACAAAUGAACGGCAUAAAGAGCACCGACCCAGAACCCAUUUCCUAGUUCGUGUCUCAACUUCCACAUCUCCAGACCUUUUGCAAGAGACUGUGAGCAUUCAAAGACCUAAGCAGUUGCUGAAACCCUAAUUCAAAGUGCACUGAGAGGACUACACUAAGAUGUUACCCUUCUCUGCAGGCCCAGCUCACUGUGGCUGGACAUGUUCCUCAGCUGUGGCAGCAAGAUAGUACUAGCAAUGCACAGCAGUUCAGAAUAACUGGAAAGGGAUAGGUGUGAUUCCUGCACUGGUCUGAAGGGUCCAAGAGACCUGACCUGGUUCCCAGGAUAAGAUGGUACAAACCUUUUAAGUGUUAAAUCUAGACAGGUGUUUCUGUCCCAGUUCCUGGGGAAGAGUUUGCAUUUCUUGCUUAAAGAGAUUAAUAUAUGCUAAUUACUGUCUGGUUCAGUUCCUGUCCUAUUUCAGAAGCAAUGCAAACAUUUCCAGGCGUAUUAUCUUCAAGCAAUGGGGGAUAUCUUGAUGGGCUCCAUGCAGCUGUAAUGGAGAGAGGUGGUCCUGGAAAAAAAACGCAUUUGGUAUUUUUACAGUGUUCUGCCAAGGCUGGAGUUGCCUCCAUACCCAGCCCUACUCUAAAUAGCCAGCAGUCUCUAUGGGCUAGAAGCUAACUCGGCAGCUCUCCAUAAUCAUGUUUUGUAGAUAAUUCUCCUUCCCUGUUCUGGAAAGCAGGCCCAACUCCAAAUGCAACAAAGCUGGAUGAGACUUUUUUGGUUGGUUCUUUUUAUUUUUUUGUGUAAGUGACCUUUCCAGCCAGGGCCCAAUAGAGUAAGAAUUGCUUCUUAGGAUCUUUUUAGCCCAUUUUUGGGAGAGCUACCUUUGUCCAGCAAAUUGGGAGAAAGUGCUGUGGCUGAGCUGGGUGGGACUUGGCAGGGAAGCAACAGUGAUCAAGUGAGUCAAACUUACAGGCGAUAGCACAACUGAGCACAUUUGUGAGAGCAUUUAUGCCACAGCCAGAAAGAGUUGCCAAAGCUGGCUCUGUAGUGGUGGUGUGCAUUUCACUUUGGUCCUUCUCAAUCACAGAUGGGUACAGGGAUCAUGAAUGCAGGCAAAAGCUUCUCGUUUUCUCCCCAGCUGCCUCUGGGAGGGAGCUGGGGAGAGAAGCACAAGUAUCUGUUCAAAGCACGAGGCCACUGUGUAAUUGCUACCACUGUGAGCAUGGAAGCAGUCCCAGCUCCCAUGUGCCCUCUUCCUUUUAGGUCUCUGCUGGUUUACUAAUGUGCCUGAAGCAAGACUGAAUUCCUUUAUCAAGCGAGUACAAAAUGAGUGAGAGCAGCUACAACUGUGUAGCAUAGGGAGAACUCAAAGGAGAUGGAACCGAACUAACUCAAGUGCCAGGAGCACGCUGGCUACAAGAGCUGAGAGGUCAGCAUCAGUCAGUGUCCCCAGUCUCUGAGCUAGCCUGGGCACUGGUCUGCAGCACUGGCAGCCCUGCUGUGACACGCUCUGCUCCAGUGAAAAACAGGCACCCAGUGUCUCGCUGAUCACACGCCUCAGCCCUGGUUUGGAAGGCUUCCUGCUGGGGGCAACUUACGCCUCUGCCACACCACUCUUCUCCUGGGCUAGCCAGGAAGGGAUGGAAGCUUGAGGGGAACAGAGGCAGUAGAGCUACCGGUGUCUCAAAUGUAGAUCAGAGGCUUUUUUCUCACCUCUACUGCCAUGCCGCUGACCACAAAACAGACAAUACAUUCGGGUCUCAUCAGCUCAGGCUGGCUCAAAACUAAGUGACCUAGAAAAUAAAAUCUCAGAGAAUGCCA
ensembl:lncRNA